rnacentral:rRNA from 1 species
AUUGAACGCUGGCGGCAUGCCUUACACAUGCAAGUCGAACGGCAGCACGGGAGCUUGCUCCUGGUGGCGAGUGGCGAACGGGUGAGUAAUACAUCGGAACGUACCCAGUAGUGGGGGAUAACGCACCGAAAGGUGCGCUAAUACCGCAUACGACCUACGGGUGAAAGCGGGGGACCGUAAGGCCUCGCGCUAUUGGAGCGGCCGAUGUCUGAUUAGCUAGUUGGCGGGGUAAUAGCCCACCAAGGCGACGAUCAGUAGCUGGUCUGAGAGGACGAUCAGCCACACUGGGACUGAGACACGGCCCAGACUCCUACGGGAGGCAGCAGUGGGGAAUUUUGGACAAUGGGGGCAACCCUGAUCCAGCAAUGCCGCGUGAGUGAAGAAGGCCUUCGGGUUGUAAAGCUCUUUUGUCAGGGAAGAAACGGUUCUGGAUAAUACCUGGGACUAAUGACGGUACCUGAAGAAUAAGCACCGGCUAACUACGUGCCAGCCGCCGCCGUAA